UGCGGAAGGAUCAUUAAAGAGUUUCACAUGGGUCUUACUAGACCCUAUUACUCCUAAACCCCCCUCCUCUCUGUGUGGGCUAACUCCUGUAGAACCUACACAUCACAACUGAUCUUUUGGGGCUUCUUUUCAUCUAUGAAGAAUCGAACGCCCUCACAUCAGUUGUGCACAUAGAUGCUCAAAUCUUUCUGCUUGGUCAAGAUGAGUGUCUGUGUGGUGUUGCUUUGAUAGGCUUGGGUUAUGACCAGGUUUUUCCAUUGACUGAUAUCAGAUAACGAUUCUGAUAUCAGGGCCUAUCAGAGGAAUUGAAUACCAAAUUCUUAUGAACAGAAUAUAUAAGUCUGAUAAAUUCGAGAAUACAAUAAAUUAAAACUUUCAACAAUGGAUCUCUUGGUUCUGGCAUCGAUGAAGAACGCAGCGAAUUGCGAUAAGUGAUGUGAAUUGCAGAGUUCCGUGAAUCAUCGAAUCUUUGAACGCACAUUGCACUCUUUGGCAAUCCAGAGAGUAUGCCUGUCCGAGCGUCAGUACAACUAUCAAACAUUGAUUUUGUGGUUAACACGAUCUCUAUGUUUGGAUUUUGGAGGUUUAUAUGUCUGGGAUUUCAGUCCUUUCGACUCCUCUAUAUUUCGUUUCAUGGUGAAAUACCAAAUCUCUGGUCAUGAGCGAAACUUUUAUUUAUGACUUUUAGGGAUGGUAGACAUAGCCAUUAUUACUCUUUGUGGUAAGCAAACGUUCCUCGUCUGAGGGUAGUUUGUCACUACUAAAGACUCUUUACUUUGACCUCGGAUCAGGUAGGAUUACCCGCUGGACUUAAGCA
rnacentral:rRNA from 1 species